rnacentral:lncRNA from 1 species
AGUUUUUCCACAUUGUGUUGUCAGUUUCUUUAUUUAUUUUUUAAGAAAAAAAUUAUUAAAAUUUGGUUCAUAAGAGAAAUGCAAUGUGGUGUUUACUUAAAAAAGUAAUCAGUUUUAAAAAAAGGGUGCGGUUUCUAUAAGGUUGCAACCUUAAACAAUCCAAUUAAAGCGCAAUACCAAAUUUUAUCAUAACAUGUAAUUGUUAGGAUUAUUUUAAAAACUAUUUUCAUAUCUAAUUAGAAAAUUUUAAACUCCGAAAAUGGCUAAAAUCAAGUAGAUCUAUAAACAUAUAAAACUCUUGAAAAUGGACGGUCUAGAUAAUGUGUUGUAAGAUGUACUAUUUUUGGGACUCAAAAUUUUUUUUUUUUAAUAUUCAUACAUCUCGAUGUCGAGAUGAUCAAUUAGAGGAUUUUUCAACAUCCGCCUUUCCGAUAGAUUUUUGAGAUGCAUCUGUGAUUCGGUUGCAACCUUAUAUAAACUUUUCCCUUUAAAAAUAUCCUUUAUGUUAGUUACCACUUCAAGAAUUUUGUUAAAAAAUACCUAAAUUGUUUUUGUUCUAGGUUUGUAAUUCUAUACAAGUAAGGAUGUUUUGGUUAUUUGGCAUAUUUAAGUUACAUGAUGUUUUUAUAUGACCUAAAUACCCUAAAUUACUUGAGCCAUACGAUCUAAAUACCCUCGUUCCAGGUUUCAACUCAGAGUAUAUUUUUCUCAUUAAAAUUUCUUAUUCUGAGUUUGGGACUCAAAACAAACAAAGGCAGUUUUGAUAAUGUUGGUAAUUUGACGAUACUAAAGGCAUCUAGGUCAAAACACAUGCGUGCUCUUAUUUCUUCCAAUUUCCAAAUACAUAACAAGAUUUUAAAAUUUAAAAUACAUGUUCUGAGUUUGGAACCCAGAACAAUCAAAAUUAUUGAAGUCAUUUGGCUCGAGUAAGAUUAUAGCAACAUAAGCAAAAUGCCUAUAAUUUUUUCAAGGUUCCAAACUCAGAAAAAAGGCAGUAUAGGCAUUUUCUAUUAAAAUUAUGAGGUCG